CCUACGGGGGGCAGCAGUGAGGAAUAUUGGUCAAUGGGCGAGAUCCUGAACCAGCCAAGCCGCGUGAGGGAAGACGGCCCUAUGGGUUGUAAACCUCUUUUGUCGGGGAACAAAACCCGGGACGAGUCCCGGACUGCGUGUAUCCGAAGAAAAAGCAUCGGCGAACCCCUGGCCAGCCGCCGCGGUAAUACGGAGGAUGCGAGCGUUAUCCGGAUUUAUUGGGUUUAAGGGGUGCGUAGGCGGUAUGUUAAGUCAGCGGGAAAAUUGCGGGGCUCAACCCCGCCGAGCCGUUGAAACUGGCAGACUUGAGUGGGCGAGAAGUACGCGGAAUGCGCGGUGUAGCGGUGAAAUGCAUAGAUAUCGCGCAGAACUCCGAUUGCGAAGGCAGCGUACCGGCGCCAAACUGACGCUGAGGCACGAAAGCGUGGGGAUCGAACAGGAUUAGAUACCCUAGUAGUC
rnacentral:rRNA from 1 species